UAGCAGGCUCUAGUCACAAUGUUGUAGCUAGCAGGCUCUAGUCACAAUGUUGUAGCUAGCAGGCUCUAGUCACAAUGUUGUAGCUAGCAGGCUCUAGUCACAAUGUUGUAGCUAGCAGGCUCUAGUCACAAUGUUGUAGCUAGCAGGCUCUAGUCACAAUGUUGUAGCUAGCAGGCUCUAGGCACAAUAUUGUAGCUAGCAGGCUCUAGUCACAAUGCUACAGCUAGCAGGCUCUUGGCACAAUGUUAUAGCUAGAAGGGUCUAGUCACGAUGUUAUAGGUAGCAGGCUCUAGUAAAGAUUCUCUACCAGGCUCUAGCAUGGAAAAAGCCUCAUCACAGCUGGUGGAGUGAUACACACAACACAAGCCUUUUAUUGUGACAGACAGGCAGCCAGGUCCCCAUCACCGCGGUAACAGUAGCUCUCUGUUCCGGCCAGACUACUUGAUUACACCAACACAGUUCCACUUACCAGGCAGAGAGGAGCACAGAACAAGAGAGGAGCUACAUCAUAUGAAAUGGCACAGAUUAUCAAGGAAGAAAAGCCCUUAUUAUUAUUAUGACACAAGUAAAGGGAAUGAAUAGCACUGGACAGAGGCUUAAUAAAGUCAUGUUUAUCAACAUGUUCUUUUCUUAAGGGUCUCUCCUAAAUUCACGAGUUCACACACUUGGACUGCUCUUCCAUGUGAGUUCUCUCAGUGUACAGACAGACAGAGAGUAGCUGUAAUGUGGUGUGUGUGUGAGGGAGAAGUUAGCAAGCUGUUCUGUAUGUAACAGAUGGAGUUUCUAUUCAUCCAGAAGGAGCCAGUGUCCUACAGACUGUCUUCCCCUUUCUCCCUGAUCCCAGUCCACAGAUCCCACGUCUACAGAUCCCAUGUCUACAGAUCCCAGUCCACAGGACUAAGUCCAGAUGUUUGUAUUCUCACAGGAAGGACAGAGGGAGCAGUUUCUUCUUCUGUUUAAUUCAACCCUUCUAUCCAGACUAGACAGAGGAGGUGCUGUACUACAACCCUUCUAUCCAGACUAGACAGAGGAGGUGCUGUACUACAACCAUUCUAUCCAGACUAGACAGAGGUGCUGCUGUACUACAACCCUUCUAUCCAGACUAGACAGAGGAGGUGCUGUACUACAACCCUUCUAUCCAGACUAGACAGAGGAGGUGCUGUACUACAACCCUUCUAUCCAGACUAGACAGAGGAGGUGCUGUACUACAACCCUUCUAUCCAGACUAGACAGAGGAGGUGCUGUACUACAACCCUUCUAUCCAGANNNNNNNNNNUUAUUAUUAUUAUGACACAAGUAAAGGGAAUGAAUAGCACUGGACAGAGGCUUAAUAAAGUCAUGUUUAUCAACAUGUUCUUUUCUUAAGGGUCUCUCCUAAAUUCACGAGUUCACACACUUGGACUGCUCUUCCAUGUGAGUUCUCUCAGUGUACAGACAGACAGAGAGUAGCUGUAAUGUGGUGUGUGUGUGAGGGAGAAGUUAGCAAGCUGUUCUGUAUGUAACAGAUGGAGUUUCUAUUCAUCCAGAAGGAGCCAGUGUCCUACAG
rnacentral:lncRNA from 13 species